CAUCGGGUUACGACCUUGUUUUGACUUCUUAACCUGAGCCCGCGCCUGUUGUCACGGAGUGUUAGCUGUGGCUGCUUUUUUUUUUCUGAAUUAGGAAUGUGGCUGUGGCGAAGAACUGUCCUGUGUGGUGUGGGCUUUUGAAUAUUGGGUUGCGCUCGAGGCUUGGAUGAGUCGAUGGGUGGGCCGUCGUGGCAUUUUUCUUUCCUGGACCCUCCUUGCGUUCGUUGUAUUUUCAAGCCUGGAGUGGUUUCGUGUUUCAUCGACUUUCUUACAACUUACA
rnacentral:lncRNA from 1 species